rnacentral:tRNA from 1 species
GGCCCCGUGGCGGAACUGGCAGACGCAGCGGACUUAAAAUCCGCGGCCCCGGAAGGGGCGUGUGGGUUCGACUCCCACCGGGGCCA